rnacentral:rRNA from 1 species
UACGUAGGAUGCGAGCGUUAUCCGGAUUUAUUGGGUUUAAAGGGUGCGUAGGCGGGAUGCCAAGUCAGCGGUAAAAAUGCGGUGCUCAACGCCGUCGAGCCGUUGAAACUGGCGUUCUUGAGUGGGCGAGAAGUAUGCGGAAUGCGUGGUGUAGCGGUGAAAUGCAUAGAUAUCACGCGGAACUCCGAUUGCGAAGGCAGCAUACCGGCGCCCUACUGACGCUGAGGCACGAAAGCGUGGGUAUCGAACAGG